rnacentral:lncRNA from 1 species
CACUCGGGUAGAUUUUCACAUAAAUAUUUUACCAAAAUAAGAAAGAUAUUUAGGUCUAGUUUGGGCUAAUUUUUUGUAGUUGGAUGUUCAAGGGUUUUUUUUAUAGUAUUUUUUUUAACUAUUUGAUAAAAUAUUUUAUACAUUUUUAGAUUUCUCUUGAUGAGAGAGGUCAAAAAAUGUCAAUUACUUUAUUUAAUUUUUAAAAAAAAUUCUAAAAAAAUAAAAUUAUUUUUACUCGACAUAUUAGUUAAAUUCUUUCACUUUAGUAGAUUUUUUCUAAAAUUUAAAAAAGUUACAUUUUUAUAAUUUUUUCGUCAAGAAAAAUCAAAAUAAUACAAAAUUUUAUCAAAUUAUGAAAAGUUUAAUCAAAAUAAAAAAUAUUUUAAAACCAAAGUAUGUAAAACCUUUAAAAAUACAUAGAAAAACUAGUCUUAUAUGUAUUAAAACUCCAUAUAUAUGUGACUCUAAUUACUUUAAGCCAAUAGACUAUUGACAAGAGCAAGGACUUGGGUGGUUGAGGCCUGUGGCAUUUUAGGCUCAUAAAUAAGCAUUGGAAAGUGUUAUGAACGGAUAAGUGAUUACAAUAUUUAAAUUAUUAUAAUAUUUAAAACUAUUUCUUUAGUUAUUUAAUUAAUUUUAAUUAAAAAAAUUAUUGUUUAUUUUUAUUUAUGUUGUGAUUGAAUUUUUAAUUUUAAAUUAAUUUUUUAGAAGAUUAUUAAGCCCUCGUGAAGGUUCCUUUACUCCAUAAUUUUAUUCGUAUCAUUUUUGUUGAAUUGAAUUUUUUUUGCAAAAAUGAGAAGAAAAUGAUUAUUUAAUUUUCAUAAAAAAAAAAUUAUGUAGAAGUUUAGAAGUUUUAUUUCAUUCAAUUUUUUCUUUUGUAUUAUUUUCUAUGGAUAAUUUUUUUUAAGACAUAAAUUUUACUUUACUUUUCAAGACAAUUUUUUUUAAUUAAACUUUAAUAUUUGGUAGGGAUUUAGGUGUUUUUUUUCUUUCGCUUAUUCUUUUUAUUAUUUUGUAUUUCUUUUCCUAUAUAAGAUUCCAAAAAAAGAGGCCAAACUUUGCAUUUUUUUUACAUUCUUAUUUUCUCUCAAAUAUAUUCACUACAAAAUACCCAAGUAAAGUGCAUCCUCAAAACGGGUUUGAUCUGUAGCCUGGCCACACUCCCGCGAGGGCAUAGUGGCAAUAAUCCUGUGUCCAAAAAUUAAAAGGCGCCUUGAUACAUGGAAAAAUCUCCUGAAACACUUCACUCGUAAUCCUCUUAAUUGUUACUUGUAAGUAUUGAUUAUUACUUUUUGAAUCAAUUAUCUCAUUAGUUGUUGAUUUCAUCCUUCUGUUUUGCGAUGUAGUUAUUGUUCAUUUAGUAACUGUUGCUUUUAUAUUAUUAGAAAACAUAUUGAUAGGCUUUAACUCUUCCUCUUUAUCAAGGGAAGGCAAAUUCAGAUAAGGAAGUAUUUCAAAGGGAAAUAAUGUGAACCUUGUUUACCUUUUUUUUAUUCCCUGUUUUUAUUUUUUUUAUUUUUAUCAACUUUCUUAUCUGUUUUUUUUACUAUUUUAUCAUGUUUUUAUAUACUUUUUCUGUUUUUUUCUUUAAUUUCUUAACUGUUUGUUUCCCCUUUUUUCCUUUUUUUUCACAGUUUUUUUGUUAUCUACUUUUUCCCCCUUUUUUCUCUAUUUUUUCUUCUUUUUUUGGCUGUUUUCAAAUUUUCUCUGCUUUUAUUUAUUUUUCUUUUUAUCUUCUUUUUUUUUAAUUUUUCUUCCAUUUUUUUCUCUUUUUUAUUUUAAAUUUUGUUUUUCAUUUUUUUCUUUUUUUAAUUUCUGAACUGUUUUUUUCUACUUUUUUUCUUUUUCUGUUUUUAUAUAUUUUUUUAUGUCUAUAUAUAUUUGUUAUCUUCUUUUUUGUCCUUUUUCCUCUUUUUUUUCCUCUUUUUUUUCUUUUUAAUUUUUUUCUUGUUUUUUAUUCCCUAUUUUAUUUUAUUCUACUUUUUUUAUCUAAUUCUUCUUCUAUUUUUUUCAUGUUUUUACCUCUUUUUUAUGUUUUUCAAUUUUUACUUUUUAAACUGCUUUUAUCUAUUUUAUAUAUUGCUUGCUUGCGUAGAUUUUUUUUUUCCUAUUUUUCAUGUUUUUACUUUUUUUUCUAUUUUUUCUUUUUUUAUAGUUUUUUAAUUUUUUCUGCUUUAUAAUUUCAUGUAUUUUUUAUUUUCUUUUUUUCCUUUUCUAUAAUUUUCUUCUAUUUUUUACUGUUUUUUUCUACUUUUUUUUUGGUUUGUUGUUUAUAUAUAUUGUUAUCUUCUUCUUUUUUUAUAUACUUUUUUUCUAACAUUUUCUAUGUUUUUUUCUCGAUUUUCCUUUUUCCUUUUUUUUUUUUACCUUUUUUUCCCUUAAUUUUUUAAUGUUUUUUCUUUUUCUUUUUCUUUUCUUUUUUCUUUUUUCUAUUUUCCCCUUUUUCUGUUUUUAUAUAUAUUUUUAUGUUAUCUUCUUUUUUUCACUUUUUUAUUUUUCUCUCUUUUUUUUUUUUUUGAUUUGUUUCUUUGUUUUAUUUUUUUCUAAUUUUAAACUAUUUCUUCUAUUUUUUAACUGUUUUUUAUUAUUUUAUUAUUUUUUCUUUUUUUUGUUUUAAAUUUUUGAACUUUUGCUUUGAACUUUUUUUACUUUUGGUUUUAUUAUUGUUUAACUGUUUCUUUCUAAUUUUUGUUUUAUUAUAUAUAUUGUUAUUUUGUUCCUUUUAUUUGUUCAGUGUUUUUUCUAUUUUUGUAUCUAAUAUAUAUAAUAUUUUUUAUUAUAUUAUUUUUUUCCUUUUUUUUCCUUUUUCACCUUUUUUAUUUUAUUAUUUUUUUAACUUUUUUAACUUUUUUUGUUUUUUAUUAUAUAUAUAUAUAUAUAUAUAUUGUUUUUUCUUUUUUCUCUUUUGAUCUAAUAUUUUCUGAGUUUUUCUUUGUUUUUUUAUGUUUUUUCCCGUACCCAUUUUUUUAAUUUCCCUUUUCUGUUUUUCAUUUUUUCAUUUCUUUUUUCUUCUCUUUCUUUUUUUUAUUUUUGCUUUUAUAAUUUUUUUGUCUUUUUAUCCUAUUUUUAUCUAUUUUUUGUUAUCUUCUUUUUAUCUAUUUUUUAUCCUUUUUCUUUAACUUCUUUUCUAGUUUUUUCUUUUGUUUUUUUUCUUUUUUUUUUUCACGUUUUCAUGUUUUUUUUCCUGUUUUUCCCCCCUUUUUUUUAAUUUUUAACUGUAUUUUUAUUUUAUUUAUUUUUUUAUUUGAUUUUUUUAAUUUUAAUGUUUUAAUUAUUUAUAUGUUGUUAUCUUCUUUUUUUUCUUUUUUCUCUUCUUUAUUGUUUUAAUAUUGUUUUUUAAUUUUUAACUGUUUUUUUUAUUUUAUUUAUUUAUUCAGUUUCCUGAUUUAAUUUUUUUUAUUUAUUUUUAUUUCUAUUUUUCUUAUUUUUUUACUAUUUUUUUCUAUAUAUUCUAUUUAUAUAUAUUGUUAUUUUUUUCCUUUUAUGUCCAUUUCUUUUUUUUAUUUUUUAUUUUUAAUUUCUUAACAGUUUUUUUCUUUUAUUUUCAUUGAUAUUUCUGUUUUCAUAUAUAAUAUAUAUAAUAUUUUUUAUUAUAUUAUUUUUUCUGUUUUUUUACUUUUAUUAUUAUUUUAUUUUGUUUUCUUUGUUUUCCCCUUUUUCCCCCUUGUUUUUAUCUCUCUUUGUUUUUUAAUUUCCCUUUUCUAUUUUUUUAUCUGUUUUUUUUUUGUUUUUUUUUUGUUUUUCUUUGUUUUACUUUUUUUCUAAUUUUUUAACAUUUUUUUCUAAUUUUUUUAUUUUCUUUGUUUUUUUAAAUCUAUUUUUUAAUUAUUUCCCUUUUAUCAACUUUUUUCUUAUUUAUCUACUGCUUUUUACUUUUUUUUCCUUUCAUUUUCUGUUUUUUAAUUUUUUAACAGUUUUUUUUUUUUUUUUUCAAUGAUUUUUCUGUUUUUAUAUAUAAUAUUUUUUAUUAUCUUGUUUUUUUGUUUUUUAUCUAUUUUUUUCUGUUUGUAUUCUUUUUUAUAUCCUUUUUCUUAGUUUAUCUUUUUUGUUUUAAUUUUAUUUUUGAAUAUUUUAUUUUCUAUUUUUUCCUUUUUUCCUUUUCUUUUUCUAAUUUUCUAAUUUUAUUUGUUUUCAUUUUUUCUUUUUUUCUUCUUCUUUUUUUCCCUUUAUCUUAGUUUGCCAUUUUCCGUUUUUAAUUUUAUUUUUGAAUAUUUUCUUUUUCUAAUAUUUGAUUUUUUCAUAUUUUAACAAUUUUAAAAUUUUCUGUUUUUUAUUUUUUCUGUUUAAAUACAAAUAUAUUUAAUGUUAUCUUCUCUUUUUUCCUUUUUUUAUCAACUUUUUUCUUAUUUUUUUACUUCUUUUUUUUUUUUCAUUUUCUGUUUUUAAUUUUUUAAUAGCGUUUUUUCUUUUUUUCCAUUGAUUUUUCUGUUUUUAUAUAUAAUAUUUUUUAUUAUAUUACUUUUUUCUCAUUUCCCCCCUAUUUUAUUAUAUUAUUUUUUAACUUUUUUUUGCAUUUUUUUAUUUUUUCUGUGUAUAAAUAUUUUCUUAGUUUUUUUUUGUUUUUCUAUUUUUCCCGUAUUUCACCACCUAUUUUGAUCUCUUUUUUUUUUGUUUUUCCUUAUUUUUAAUUUCCCUUUUCUGUUUUUUAUCUAAUUAUUUUCUCAUUUUUGUUUUUUUUUUUUUUUAUGUUUUUCUUUGUUUUACUUUUUGUUUCUGUUUUUAAUGUUUUAACAAUUUUUUGCUAGUUUUUUUAUUUUUCUUCGUCUUUUUUUCAUAUUUUUUUGUUUUAAUUUGCUUUUUCCUUUUUUUGUUUCUCUCUUUUUGUUUUAAUUUUGUUUUUGAUUUUUUUCAUAUUUUAACUAUUUUAGACUUUUUAAUUUUUAAUUGUUUCCUUUUAUAUAUAAAUAUAUUUAAUGUUAUCUUCACUUUUUCAUUUUUUUCAUAUUUUUCCCUUUUUUAUCUACAUUUUUUUUCUUUUCUAUAUAUUUUAUUGAUAUUUCUUUUUUUUAAAUGUAAGAUAUAUAAUAUUUUUUAUUGUAUUAUUUGUUUUCUUUUUUUCUCAUUUUUUUCUCCUUUUUCUCAUUUUUUUCUUAUUUUUUCUGUGUAAAAAUAUUUUCUGAGUUUUUCUUUGUUUUUCCCUAUUUGUUUUCUGUUUUUCCUCUAUUUUCAACCCUAUUUUUAUGUCAUUUUUGUUUUUAUUUUUUUUUUAAUUUUCCUUUUCUAUUUUUUUAUCUAAUUUUUUAUCUUUUUUUUUUUUUAUGUUUUUCUUUGUUUUACUUUUUUCUGUUUUAAAUUUUUUAACAGUUUUUCGCUUUUUUUUGUUUUUUAUCUAUUUUUUUAAUUUACUUUUUCUUUUUUGUUAUAUUUUUGUUUUAAUUUUAUUUUUAAUAUUUUGUUUUCCUUUUUUUCUAGUUUUUAAUUUUCUUUUUUCAGCUUUUUCAUUUUUUUCAUAUUUCAAAUAUUUUAGACUUUUCUGUAUUUUAUUUUUUUUGUUUAUAUAUAAAUAUAUUUAAUGUUAUCUUGAUUUUUUUCCUUUUCUUAUUUUUUAUCUAUUUGUUUUCUAUUUUUUACUUCUUUUUUUCUCUAAUUCUAUUUAUUAUUUUUUCCCUUUUCUUUUUUUCUUAAUUUUUUACUACUUUUUAUAUUUUUUUCCUUUUCCCUUUUUUUAUUCAUUUUCUGUUUUAAUUUUUUAAUAUUUUUCUUUUAUUUUUACUAUUUUUUCUUUUCUAUAUAUUUCUAUUUAUAUAUAUUAUUAUUUGUUUUUCCUUUUAUGUCCUUUUCUUUUUUUUUUUCAUUGAUUUUUCUGUUUUUAUAUAUAAUAUUUUAUUUUAUAUUUUUUUUGUUUUUUUUCUUUGUUCCCUUUUUUUAUUAUAUUAUUUUUUAACUAUUUUUACUUUUUUCUUUUUUUUCUUUUUUCCCUUUUUACCCCUAUUUCCCCCCUGUUUUUAUCCCUUUUUUGGUUUUUUCUUUUUUUAAAUUUCCCAUUUCUGUUUUUUAUAUAUUUUUUCAAUUUCGUGAUUUUUUUAUGUUUUUCUUUGUUUUACUUUUUUUUUGUUUCCCUUUUUUCUUCCUUUUUCUUAGUUUAUCUUUUUUUGUUUUAAAUUUAUUUUUGAAUAUUUUCUUUUUCAUUUUUUCUUGUUUUUAAUUUUCUUUGUUCUAAUUUUUGAUUUUUUUAAUAUUUUAAGUAUUUUACAUUUUUUUGUUUUAUAUUUUUUCUGUUUAUAUAUAAAUAUAUUUAAUGUAAUCCUCUUUUUUUCCCUCUUGUUAUCAACUUUUUUCUAAUUUGUUUACUGUUUUUAUCUCUUUUUUUGUUUUUUUGUUUUUUUAAUUUCCCUUUUCUGUUUUUAUCUAAUUUUUUUUCUCUUACUUUUUUGUUUUACUUUUUUUUCUGUUUUUAAUUUUUUAAGAGUUUUUUCCUAAUUUUUUGUUUUCUUUGUUUCCCUUUUUUUCUGUUUUUGUUCUUCUUUUUUUCCCCUUUUUUUAGUUUAACUUUUUUUGUUUUAAUUUUAUUUUUGAAUAUUUUCUUUUUAUUUUUUUUCCUAUUUUUAAUUUUCAUUUUUCGAAUUUUUGAUUUUUUUCAUAUUUUAACUAUUUUAGACUUUUUUUUGUUUUUAUUUUUUCUGUUUAUAUUAAUAUAUUUAAUGUUAUCUUCUUUUUUUCCCUUUUUUAUCUACUUUUUUCUUAUUUUUUUACUGUUUUUUACUACUUUUUUUUUCUUCUCUCUCUCUCUCUCUCUCGCAUAGAUCUAUCUAUCUAUAUAUAUAAUUAAUAUAUAUAUAUAUAUAUAUAGAUUAGAUAUAUAGAUAUAUAUAUAUUGAUGUUUUCCAUUUAGGGCUUUUCUUUUUCGCCUCUUUCAUUUUCUGUUUUAAUUUUUAACAGUUUUUUUUUUCAGUGUUUUGAUGUUUUUAUAUAUAUAUAUUAAACAUUUUUGUAUAUUAUUUUUUUAACUUUUUUUAUUAUUUUCUGGGUGUGUAUCUUCUUUUUUAUAGUUUUUUUGUUCUAUUUGUCUUUUUUAGGUUAUAUAUAAUAGAUGUGUGUGUGUGGUGAGUGGGGGGGUGUUGUGUGUGUUUCUUUUUGCCUUUAUCUCUUGAUCUUAAUUAUUUUCGUUCUGUUUGUCCUAGGUGUGCGUGGUAAUUUGCCCGAUGUCGAGGGUUCGGUGGUUUUAUCUAGUGUGGCUUUGGGGAGGAGAUAAGAGAGAGGUAGAUAUAUGAUGAGAUAGAUAGAUAGAUAUAUAUAUAUCCGGUUCUCUUCGUUGUUAUCUAAGUGGUUGAGGGGUAUUAAGGUCAAUUUACCCAAUAUACUUUUUUCACUCAAAUAUAUUCACUAUAUAAAAGGAUAUUUACAUAAAUUUGUCUUCAUAAAAAUAAUUUUAUGUAAAUAUUCUUUUUUUAUUUUUUCUAUUUUUCUCUUGUGAAAUCACUUUUUAGUUUUGUGGAACUUUUUUCUCUAAUUGAGCAUGUUUAUAAUAUGUUCCUUAGGAUAGUGAUACUAAUCUUUAGU